rnacentral:rRNA from 1 species
GAUGAACGCUGGCGGCGUGCCUAAUACAUGCAAGUCGAGCGAACGGACGAGAAGCUUGCUUUUCUGAUGUUAGCGGCGGACGGGUGAGUAACACGUUGAUAACCUACCUAUAAGACUGGGAUAACUUCGGGAAACCGGAGCUAAUACCGGAUAAUAUUUUGAACCGCAUGGUUCAAAAGUGAAAGACGGUCUUGCUGUCACUUAUAGAUGGAUCCGCGCUGCAUUAGCUAGUUGGUAAGGUAACGGCUUACCAAGGCAACGAUGCAUAGCCGACCUGAGAGGGGGAUCGGCCACACUGGAACUGAGACACGGUCCAGACUCCUACGGGAGGCAGCAGUAGGGAAUCUUCCGCAAUGGGCGAAAGCCUGACGGAGCAACGCCGCGUGAGUGAUGAAGGUCUUCGGAUCGUAAAACUCUGUUAUUAGGGAAGAACAUAUGUGUAAGUAACUGUGCACAUCUUGACGGUACCUAAUCAGAAAGCCACGGCUAACUACGUG